GACGAAGGUGGCGAGCGUUGUUCGGAAUCACUGGGCUUAAAGCGCAUGUAGGCGGCCUGUCAAGUGUCUUGUGAAAUCCCCCGGCUCAACCGGGGAAUUGCUGGGCAAACUGAUGGGCUUGAGGCAGGUAGGGGCGAGUGGAACUCUUGGUGGAGCGGUGGAAUGCGUAGAUAUCAAGAGGAACGCCGGAGGUGAAGACGACUCGCUGGGCCUGUCCUGACGCUGAGAUGCGAAAGCCAGGGGAGCAAACGGG
rnacentral:rRNA from 1 species